GGGCGGGGCUGGGAACCUCUUCGGGGUUACCGCCUUUGCUGAAUUAUUUACCCUCUGUCUUUUUGCGUACUUUCUUGUUUCCUUUGGUGGGUUCGCCCACCACUAGAGACAAACAUAAACCUUUUUGUAAUUCGCAAUCAGCGUCAGUAACAAAUUAAUAAUUACAACUUUCAACAACGGAUCUCUCGGUUCUGGCAUCGAUGAAGAACGCAGCGAAAUGCGAUAAGUAGUGUGAAUUGCAGAAUUCAGUGAAUCAUCGAAUCUUUGAACGCACAUUGCGCCCUUUGGUAUUCCAAAGGGCAUGCCUGUUCGAGCGUCAUUUGUACCCUCAAGCUUUGCUUGGUGUUGGGCGUCUUGUCUCUAGCUUUGCUGGAGACUCGCCUUAAAGUAAUUGGCAGCCGGCCUACUGGUUUCGGAGCGCAGCACAAGUCGCACUCUCUAUCAGCAAAGGUCUAGCAUCCAUUAAGCCUUUUUUUCACUUUUGACCUCGGAUCAGGUAGGGAUACCCGCUGAACUUAAGCAUAUCAAA
rnacentral:rRNA from 1 species